AAACUCGUAAAAACCCGUUUCCGUGUAAUACAUACAAGUUUAAAAUCCCCUUUGAAAAUUAGUGAUUUCUUAUUUAAUUUUGAAAAUACUUUCACUAUUUUAAAAUUUUAAAAUAUGAGUUUUCCUUAGUCAAAUACCAUUUUUCGCUAUUUCGAACCUAAACCAGUAUUUCGGUAUUUCUACUUUUGUAGAUAACUUUAACUUUAAAAGUAGAAUUUUUGGAACUAAAUA
rnacentral:lncRNA from 1 species